GCUUGGCUGGCUCAGUCGGUAGAGCAUGUGAUUCUUGAUCUUGGGGUUGUAGGUUCAGGACCCACGUUGAGUA
rnacentral:tRNA from 1 species